rnacentral:lncRNA from 1 species
AAAUGUGAGAUCCAAACCUAAUCACGUCUCCCACCUUGAAAAAUCCAUUUGUGGUAUUCGAUGGGUGCCAAGGGCGUGCUAUAAUGAAUUGCGCAUAUUUUUACUUGCAUUUGACUUUGUUAAUUCUUAAUCUAAUGGCAAUACUCAAUACAUUUUUGUUAUUGUCAAUGGUACAUUAGUUCAUACUACAGCUUGACAGUGGUUCAUCAUCUCAUUCUCUUGGGAUCAGUAAUGAAUUCAGGUGGUGGCUAGUUAGGAUGGAUUCGUCGGAUCAGUCGGGUGUCGGCCGGCUGUGACUGUGAAUCUGUGAUGACAGUAACAGAUUUGGGCUGAGACCUGGCUGUGAUGCUAUUGGGCAGUUCACAGUUGAACCUCUCUUCAUUUUUU